GCAGUGUUGCCAACCAGUUGUAUGUGUCUGGGGGUUGUGAUGAAUCACUUCUUUCCUCACUAGAGAUCAACUGUGCUUGCUUGUUGUUACUAGUGUUUAUAAGAUCACCCAACGACAAUCUGCAACCCCACCCUUAAAGUUAGAACUCUCUUGUGAUGGGUCAGCAUGGAUCUUCUCCACUGAUGGCAUGCAUCUGACCUAUUUGUUCUUCAAAACCAAGGAGCUCUCCUGCUCUCUCUCAUCCUACAUCCCUUUUUUCUUGAUAUUUGUAAGGUCUUUCUUGGCUUUGGGGACUUAUGAAAAUGACCCGUAGAAGGCCUAGCUUCUGUUCGUCCCAUUGAAGCCUUUUGGACUCACCUGUUAAGGGGACAGUACUCAACAGGCCUUCCAUAUGACCACGUGAGUAUAUGGGGAGGAUAGGGGGAAGACAGCCCUCCCUUUGGUGACCCCUUCAUCCUAGUGAACCUCAGCUCUCAGCAUUCAGUGGGAGGUUCAAUUCUUCAGUAAGCAGAAAACUUGGCCUAGGUGUGGUCUUGGUGUCAAUUACACCCCACUUGCUCAUCACAAACUCUAGGUAGCCAUGGCCACUGCACAGUGCUCAAUGGCAACUUGAAUAGGCCCAGCAUAAGGAACUGCCUAGGAAUGCUGCCAUUCCUACACUCCUACCUGAUUUAAGACUUCUGUGUGGAACUCCCACUAGAUCACGUUUUAUGCAUUGUUCUUACUGCAGAUUGCUGCCGUGUGGAUUUAUUUCUGUAGGGCAGCUUCCUGAACAAGCCUCUUAAUCACGACAUUGCACUAGGUGGUAAUUAUUUGAUUAUUCAUUGAGUAGGUGAAUUUCUGCAGGGUCUUAACAAGGCCAGUAUUCUGUAUGUCCUAAAUUGGGAAAGGAAAAACCUGACACAGCUUUGCUGUGUGUGUGUGUUUUUUUUUUUAACUGUGCAGCUUUUGGGAGUUCAGGCAUGUUAUGCCAUUUAAAACAAUCAUUUAAAAGAGAAAGCCAUUGAGCUUUAGCAGCCAAGAGUGCUCUCAAGGGUCUAAGGGGGCAGGCAAGGAAAUUCCAAAUGUCAGGGGAGAAUUGUUUACAAGUCCCCAGUGAUUUUUCAACCUGGCAGAUGGAUGCUGACAUUUCUCAUAAGAAAGAACUUGUGUGUGUGUGUGAGAGAGAGAGAGAGAGA
rnacentral:lncRNA from 1 species